AAGUUUCAGGUUGGCGCCUCCUGGUCGCCACGGCACACGAAACAGCGUUGGUCCCCCUAUAUGAGCGAUAUAAGCUGCUUAGCGCGGCCGAUAGAAUGCUACGUAUAUCAGGUCUGUUUCGUGUGCUGAAUUGUUGACGCAUUUAUUUAUUGGUAUCGCAUGAACCCCAUCGUAAUUAAUCGGCUUCAACGGAAGCUGGGCUACACUUUUA
rnacentral:sRNA from 1 species